rnacentral:lncRNA from 1 species
CCGCCUAUAAUUUUUUUUUAUGAUCAAACCAACUAUAAAAAUUUUACCCAGUAUAUGUUCUACAAUUUUCUGACCGAAAAAGAGUAACAAAAUUGCUAAAGUCUAUUGACUCUCAUAUUGCUCAAUCGUUAAUUUUAGUUCCCGCAGUAAGGUUAUCCAUUCUGUUGAUCACACACUUCCAGGUUCAGUGACUGUUCUAAUGAAAGAGAAAGCGGUACAGCUGUCCGGACAAACACCAUUUGACAGCAAACACUUACUAGUGCAAGUCUUUGUCCUCCAAUGCCUUUUGAUGCCUUUACCUGGAUCUCCUCGGGAGCAAUUAUGCAAAUUUUGACGUCUUUUGCUUCCUUUCUUUCCACAGAAAAUCAUUGUUGUGAAGGUUUGGCUAUAUUAGAUACGGAAUACCAAGCACAUGGAUUUCUCCAUGUCGAUGAUCUGUCAGCAUUUGUGUCGGUGUUACCUUUUCCUUUUUUUUCUUCAUUUUUUUUUAAUUCGUCAGCCAUGCGUCAUGUUUAUAUAAGACUAUGCGAGAAAAAUGGCGUCCAUUCUUA